GCACCAGAUGCUCUUGCACUUCCUGACCUCCCUGGGUGGCAGCAUUGGAAGUGCCUGGACCCUUGGAAAGGGCUAAGUGAUUCCUUCAUCAUUACCAGAAUGUAGUUUGUGUUCAACAGGUGGCGGUGGAGAACUGUGGCCUUCUGUUCAGCGCAAAAAGUCUACUGAGGAUCUAGGUGGAUAGAACAGGAACGCAGAGCAAUAGUUGGAUGCCUAUAUGCACAUCUUCCUCUGUCUGGCAAGCUCUGCUGACCCCUGAGGUCGUUUCCAUGCUUGCAGAGGUCCUAUCUGCUUGGUGUCAGUUGUGCCUUGUGUUCACUUGGCUUUCACCGGGUGUUGUUGCCUUAUAAUAUUUUCCCAACCUGUUCACAAGCAGGAGGUCCCCUUGGCCUCCGUGUCUCGCUCUGGCCAGGCAGAUGUGGUGCGCCAACGGUACACAGAGUCCAGACCCUGAGCAGAACAACUGAGGAGAGAGGCUGCCCUGGGUGAGACAGGAGAAGUGCCCCUUGGAGUGGGGGACGCCCCACUGGCGCUGCCUCUCGCAUCCACCGGCAGCACGUUCCUUCUCUCUCCUUGCUGCCCGGCGCUUUGCCGUCUCCCAGGGCUCACCAAGUCCAAAUGUUCCCCGAUGGAGUCCAACUCCAGCUUGACCAACACUCACCCCAUCUUGUCCCUGCACCAGCUGGCUUAGGGCUCCCCAGCAUUGCUGGCUGUCGCUGCCUUCUGUCGCUCCCAGUCAGCAUGGCUCUGUUCUUUGCUUUUUGGGUUCCAGAGUGUUUGCUACAGGUUAUGGAGUGUUUCUCUUCUCUCUCUUCUUGUCCUCCAUGUUGCCUGUUGGCGCCUCGGUGGAGUUUCAGUGACCCAAAUGCAGACUGCUCUGCGUUGCCCAAGCGUGAUGCCAAGAGAAGAGGAUAGGAGACUCUGCCGUCAGAUGGCGUUGCCUGUUCUUCUCUCCCCAGUUUGCAGAGUUGGAUGUGACCUCAGCACUGGAUAAGGGGUAAGUGAUUCCUCCAUCCUGACCAGAAGGUAAUCUCUACUUGUCUUGUGCUGUGUGGAACAGGUUGCAGUGGAGAAGUGCAGUUGUCCGGGGCGCUGCAAGGACUCUAUUGAGGCAUUUGGUGGACGCCGCAGGAACCCACAGCCAGAGGGCUCCCCAGUUCUGGUGGGAUCUCCGUGCCUUCUGCUGAUCCCAGAGAACAUGGGUUUGAGCAAGUGAGAUGGAAAAUCAAGUGGUAAACUCCAAAACAGGCUUGCAGUGAGUGUGUCGUAUGACUUGGGGUUUCUAGCUUGACAUCUGUUUUUUUUUUUUUUUUUUUUUUUUUUGUAAGCCAUUCGGUUCAGUACCUGAUAGGAAAGUUUCUUUCCUUCUAGUAUUGGAGACUUAUCCACCACAUGGUGAUGCCUUCCCUGGCCUCCUUGAUUGCAGUGUGGGAUGUGCCCUGAUCCUUGGAAAGGGGUGAGUGAUUCCUUCAUCCU
ensembl:lncRNA